UAAUCACUUGUCUUCUAAAUAAAGACCAGUAUGAACGGCUAAAUGAGGAUAAACCUGUCUCUUAUGGUCAAUCAGUGAAACUGAUUUUCCAGUACAAAAGCUGGAAUAAUCACAUAAGACGAGAAGACCCCGUGGAGCUUCAAACAAAUCACUAUAAACAGAUUAGUGUGCUGUUUUAAGUUGGGGCGACUUCGGAAUAAAGAAAAACUUCCGAGCACAGAACCACUGCUUCUAACUAAGGUUAACAGACCUAAGUACAAAACUGAUCCGGCCACGCCGACCAACGAACCAAGUUACCCCGGGGAUAACAGCGCUAUCUUCUUCUAGAGUCCAUAUCAACAAGAAGGUUUACGACCUCGAUGUUGGAUCAGGACACCCAAAUGGUGCAGCCGCUAUUAAAGGUUCGUUUGUUCAACGAUUAAUAGUCCU
rnacentral:rRNA from 1 species